rnacentral:lncRNA from 1 species
GGAGUGGUAGUCCUGCUGCUGCUCGCCGGUGGCUAGCUGGAACUGCAGCCCCGCGCAUCACGUGGUGACGCCAAGGCCCAGGUCUUCUUGACCCGUUGCCUCAUUCUUUCCCAGGUAAUUAUUUUUCCUCGGUCUUGCAGAUGUAUUCAUGUGUAGCUUUUAGAUCUUGCAAAUUAGAGAUUUUGGCAAUAUGCGCUGAUCUCUUUAUGUGCUGAGUGGCCGGCCUGCAGUUCCCCUGCUCAUAUUCGAACAUGCACAAAUUUAGCGCUGAUCGAUCUCUGCAUCCAUCUGGAAACUGAAUUACUAUCAUGUACUGUACUGAUUAGUACCAUCACCUGUUGCACUAAUUAGAGGAUUUGCUUGAUUAGAAACUCAGUUACGAGCACGUAAUUGGUAGCGUCCCCUGUGGCAUAAUUAGCUCUCCUCUCCUCACUAUAUGGAUGACAAAUAUAAUUAGUACCGGUAGUACUAAUUUCAACUUUCCAAGCAAGUCUGCAGUUUAGGUUCACCAGAUGCAGUGAUGUGAUCUGAUCUUUUUUCCUUCGUAGGGUAAAAAUCUAGGCUGGAUCGCUAGCUUCCUCCAAGGGCAAGAUCGCCGCCUCUGCCAGCACUAAGAAAACAACUGGCGAAGGCAAGGCGGCCAAGGUCUUCUCCCAAACCGGCCAGAAGUUUGAAACAGCAGAGGAGGUAGUAAUUCAAUCGUCUUACAUUCAUCUGUGCUGACACCCUUUUGGUACAUCGUGGUGGUGUUAUUUUCAUAAAGCGUUAUUUUACAACCCUUGAUACUCUUCGCAGAUCGAGCGGCAAGACACGGGGCCUCAACAUGCAUGGGUUGUCUUUUGUUGAGUCAUACUUGAAUUUCCCUCCACAAAAAAUCGCACGUGAAUUAUGAAGUUAACUACCAUGACGUCUAGGUACUUAUUGCUGCCACUGCUCACAGGUUAUUUUGAUGGUGUUUUUUGCUGAGCGUCUUGCAUGGACAAUCCUUCCAAAUUUCAAUAUAUGCAUUCAUGUUUCUCUUAACUUCUAACUUCUAAGGCACGAAGACUGGACAUUCCUAUGGUGACUCUCUGAUUUAUGGUCAAAAAGUUGUUCACAUUUGUUUUUGAUUUCUCCCCUAAAUAUCUGAAGACAAAUGAUUUUUAUCAUUGGCUAUACCAGAUAAUUCAAAUAGUCCCUAAUCUUGCCCAUGCAUUUUUUGUUUAAGUUUGACUUUCGUAUGAGAUAAUCUGGAGAAAUUUAUGUUGUUUCCGGUGGCAAAGUGCAACAUGAACUGUUGUUGCAAGUCCACCAUAUUUUCUCAAAUUUUAGAAGCUAUUCAUUGGCAUGUAUUUUAUUAGUUUUAUUAGUGCUUCCAUUACUUUCUAUUAAAAUAUGCUUAAUGGGCUAAAGGCUGUACCUUUUCAGAAAGUUGCAGUGUGUGGUAUGUUUGCUGAACUUGUGAUGGAAGUUCUUCACGCAGGACCUUCGUCCAUAUAGAUUUUAACUUUAAACAUUAUUAUAUUUUGGACAAAUGAUGUGUUUACUGAAUUGUCAUUGUUUUUUUGAAGUUAUACCAUUCGUAAUAUUGCAUUGUAGAUAGACAAAAAGAUAUAGGUAUUAAUUUUUGUGGCUCUAGCAUAAAUGUUUAUCACCACGGUGACAUUUCUUGUUCAAUUUAGAUAAGGAAAAAAACAAGUAUUAAACAGAAAGUAGAGAGGAUAAGAGCAUUGUUGUCCAGGGUGGUUCAUGCCAAAGACUGUAACAAAAUAAUUCCUUAUGGUAGUGCAAAUCAUUGAUGAUGCAGCGGAAGUUACACAAGUUCUGCUAGAAUUUCUCUCAGAUAACAUGGAUGGAGGUGAGUUUUGCAUAAUCCAUCUCAGUAAGAAGCUUGCAUUGAGUAAUUCUUUUCAAAAAGCUUACCAUGCGCAACUACAUGAUACUUGCAGUUCUUAGUGUCAAUUGACAGCGACAUUCUUCAAUGGGAAACCUUGCAUAUAAUUGUCUUGAGUACAACAAUACAUGAUUUUCUGGCAAUAAAAUGUUCAUGAUUGAUGCAUAAUGUGUGCUCUGUCCGCAUUUUAAUUAUUUAUAUUAAUAUUUCUGGUUAUCACUGCAGGAGUUGCAAUGGAGUUGAUGAGGGAAGUCUGCAAUCCAGACUGCUAAGUGGUAACCACUCCGGAUUUUAUGGAUAGUAAAUGGUCCACUGCUAUUGACAGGUGCCUUCCUGGACUCUUCUGACCAUUUGGCAUGUUUUUCAUUCUUUACUAUCAUCGUGUAGUUGCAGAAAAAUGAAUACUACUUGGAAAUAUGUAAGAGCAUGGCUCAAAACUCACAGACAGACACAAUUUUGAAUCAACGAUUUUAUUUAGACAAUGAAACAAUGUUUUUCGAUUGAAAAAUUUGUAGUAUAUUUUGAAUUUUAAAUGUAUACACCAAGAAAACAUAGUUCUCUACAGUUGAAUUUUAAAUUCAUGUUUUGGAAAUCAAAACCAUCUGAAAUUUCAUGAGUUCCGGCUAGAAUAAUUAAUGCUACGCCGCUGCUAAUGCCAAAGGUUGUGCCACCUUUGUUUGAUUGGUGAUGCAGCCAUUGCAACACAAGUAGUACAAGUUCAUCAUGUGCACCGCCCAUCAAUGAAUUCUUUUUAUCAUUGUUUCUACCGUCGCAAUGCACAGGCACAUAAUAUGAGAGAUAUGUGUGGUUCGUGGCUGCUAAACGGUCGUCCCCUCGAAGACAUGGACAAGGUGCGUGUGGUUCACAACGCGACCUCAUGUCUUACCACGUCAACCAGCCGGUGCCCAUCAUCAGACAUGCUCUUCUCCUGGACGUCAUUGGGAAGAAGCCCAUCUCUUUUGAUCUGUUUGUGCCCUUCACUAGUGCCCAUGGAGUCGGACUGAGAGUUUCUCAGGGGUGUGACACAAACUACUUGAGUUUAAACUAAUUUCCGUCUCUACUGAAAUUUUCUUUUAAAAAUUUAAAGUAUGCUAAUGCUUUUUUUUUAUUGUUCAGGUAGAUUCCAGCACGAGUGUUCACCUUUUUUUCUGCAUGUAAUGAGAAUGUUGUGGCUAAUAGGUUUAAAAUUGUCAUUUUAGUUUCCCCUCAAAUUAUAUUUUGUCAUUUUGCUAUCAUUCAUUGAAAUUAUGGAACACACAAAAGAAGUAUAAGCAGCGACAUAUGCCAACAUGGAUAAACCUAUGUGGAUGGGGUAUUUCAUUCAUUUUAUUUUAGGAUGUGAUUUUUGUUUGUCCCGUUGCAACGCACGGGCCUUUUUGCUAGUGUAUAAAAUGUCCAAACUAACCCUAAAUAAUUUCAAUUUUUCUACGACACAUAUAGUUGCAUGUUCACUGCAGAUAAAAGUUCUAGCAAUUUAAACAUCGUCCAUUGCACCCCAUUAUGUAAUUUAAAUCAGGAUGAAAAAUCAAGUAGUUCCCACAGUUUAUUAUCACCAACCGUGUGAGAUGAAAUACAAAAUAUCCUGAAGCAUGUCGGUGUAUAGUCCACCUAUGGCUUACCCGAGAAGGUGCGUCAGCUACAGUCCAUAGCUGGCGGUCAAGCACACUAGCUCGCUUCCCAAAUAUCAUUUCACCGUUCAAUCGUCGCCGGUGAAAGAUGGGGACGUGGACCCACGUCGUGAGGGCAACUUCGGCGGCCCACUCCGGCUAGAGCUUGGCCGCAGCCGUCAUGCGCGUGCU